rnacentral:rRNA from 1 species
CUGGCUCAGAUUGAACGCUGGCGGCAGGCCUAACACAUGCAAGUCGAACGGUAACAGGAAGCAGCUUGCUGCUUGCUGACGAGUGGCGGACGGGUGAGUAAUGUCUGGGAAACUGCCCGAUGGAGGGGGAUAACUACUGGAAACGGUAGCUAAUACCGCAUAAUGUCGCAAGACCAAAGAGGGGGACCUUCGGGCCUCUUGCCAUCGGAUGUGCCCAGAUGGGAUUAGCUUGUUGGUGAGGUAACGGCUCACCAAGGCGACGAUCCCUAGCUGGUCUGAGAGGAUGACCAGCCACACUGGAACUGAGACACGGUCCAGACUCCUACGGGAGGCAGCAGUGGGGAAUAUUGCACAAUGGGCGCAAGCCUGAUGCAGCCAAUGCCGCGUGUAUGAAGAAGGCCUUCGGGUUGUAAAGUACUUUCAGCGGGGAGGAAGGGGUUAAGGUUAAUAACCUUAGCCAUUGACGUUACCCGCAGAAGAAGCACCGGCUAACUCCGUGCCAGCCGCCGC